CCUACGGGAGGCAGCAGUGGGGAAUCUUAGACAAUGGGGGCAACCCUGAUCUAGCCAUGCCGCGUGAGUGAUGAAGGCCUUAGGGUCGUAAAGCUCUUUCGCCUGUGAUGAUAAUGACAGUAGCAGGUAAAGAAACCCCGGCUAACUCCGUGCCAGCAGCCGCGGUAAUACGGAGGGGGUUAGCGUUGUUCGGAAUUACUGGGCGUAAAGCGCGCGUAGGCGGAUUAGAAAGUUGGGGGUGAAAUCCCGGGGCUCAACCCCGGAACUGCCUCCAAAACUGCUAGUCUAGAGUUCGAGAGAGGUGAGUGGAAUUCCGAGUGUAGAGGUGAAAUUCGUAGAUAUUCGGAGGAACACCAGUGGCGAAGGCGGCUCACUGGCUCGAUACUGACGCUGAGGUGCGAAAGUGUGGGGAGCAAACAGGAUUAGAUUCCCUGGUAGUCCACACCGUAAACGAUGAAUGCCAGUCGUCGGAUAGUAUACUAUUCGGUGACACACCUAACGGAUUAAGCAUUCCGCCUGGGGAGUACGGUCGCAAGAUUAAAACUCAAAGGAAUUGACGG
rnacentral:rRNA from 1 species